GGCUGGUCCUAGUGCAGUGGUGUUUACAACUAAUUGAUCACAACCGGUUACAGAUUUCUUUGUUCCUUCUCCACUCCCACUGCUUCACUUGACUGGCUUUUA
rnacentral:Y_RNA from 1 species